rnacentral:lncRNA from 1 species
UUCUUUUCAGAAGGGUGUGAGGAACAAGCAAUAUUAUUUUAAGCUGAAGCAACAUUUCAAGGUGCUCAGGAAGGAGAAACUUACUCACCCACGGCAGUUCCUUGGGAACAGGAGCCAGCAGGCACAACGGCAGGGCAGUUUUAUAAUGAGCUUUGUGUGUGGGGUGUGGAUUUGCAAGCACUGGCUACCAGUCCCCUUCUCCUUGCAGGGGGAUUAACUCAGUGGAUUACAGAUGCCCUCUGAAGAGGCUGGCCUAACUUAGAUGGUCGCACCACGGCAGGCUUCCUGAGCACGUGAGGGCUGAAGAAGGAGACAGCGAGCACAAGAGAGGAGCUGAGAGCCUUCCAAAUAACCACCAGCAAGGUUUUGGCUCUCACAGAGGCUCACAGUUCAAGAUCACUGUAUGCACUGAGUUCAUCCACGGUGGCAUUUCAUUGGGCUCAGCACAAAGCUGCACUCUGGGGGCCGUCAUCUUUGGAAAAGCGACUUCUCAGCUGAGACAGAAAGCACGAUGGCUUGCCCAUGGUCCAACACAAUCCUUGGGCAGUGCCUGGACUGCAGCAUCAAGCUCCACGCCCUAACCAGUUUCUCCUGCCUCUGUUACUGCUUUUGUAGCGUAGGCUCUCCCGUCUCCUCCCCAGUCGAGGCUAUGGUUUUGUGGUCAUUCUCACCUCUUCUUUGUCCCACCCAACAUACCAGGAUCUGCAAGCUCCCAGCUCUUUCCAGUUCUGUUCAGAUAUUCAAACCUUCACUGUAAGGCAAGAACUGUUCCACUGUGGUGUUACAAUGCCACCUCCAAGCAAGGGAGGUACCCCAGCCAAGGAAAACUCCAUUCUGCUCAGCUUGUCAUUAUUUUUGCAGUUCUCAAUCAUCCUGACACCGUGCUGCAGUGAGACACUUUGUGUCUCCCACCUCACACGUUUGCCAAGCAAGCUGUGACCCGGCCAUAGCAAAAAGGAAGAGCAGCCGUGCUCACCUGUUGCACUCACACAGCUUCUGCUCUGGCACCUGGCACGCUCUGCCCGGCAAGUGUGCGUGAAGAAUGAGGCUGUUUGCUUUCAGUGGUUGUUUAUUCCUCUUCCCUGACACUCUGGCAGAACCCCACGUGUACUGCUCUUUGUGUCUGUCAAUGCUCUGUGCAGCCAAGUGUCUCACUUCGUCUCUAUCUGUCACCCACCAAAGCAGGCGCAAUACAGAAGCACUAAUAAGGUCUAUCCUAAGAGAACAUCUCCAUUCACAUCAGCAGAAGCUGUUAGCAAAGCACGAGUGUGUCAGCCGUGGUAGAAGAGGUCACGCUUGGCUCCCGGUGCAUAGCUGCACGCACGCAGUCACGAAGCAGUUGCACACUAGCUGACUCUUUUCUCAGCUUCUGGAGGACUGGCAUCUUUGCAUCGCCGGGACAGCCCUGCAUCUCCCCCCAGGCUAAGCCAUUAGUGUGUGGGCAAACUCAGGCCGCAGCCAUUGCGGGAUGGGCAGGGCUGCUGUGCUCCCCCUGUUCCCUGCAGCCAGGGAGGGGGCUUUUUUGCUCUGAAAAUGGACAGCUUAAAGGAAGAGCACUUCUGCACCUGUCAGUCAUAGAAUCAGAAUGGCUUAGGUUGAAAGGAAUCUCG